UUGCACCUACGGGAGGCAGCAGUAGGGAAUCUUCCACAAUGGGCGAAAGCCUGAUGGAGCAACGCCGCGUGGGUGAAGAAGGUCUUCGGAUCGUAAAACCCUGUUGUUAGAGAAGAAAGUGCGUGAGAGUAACUGUUCACGUUUCGACGGUAUCUAACCAGAAAGCCACGGCUAACUACGUGCCAGCAGCCGCGGUAAUACGUAGGUGGCAAGCGUUAUCCGGAUUUAUUGGGCGUAAAGAGAACGGAGGCGGGCUUUUAAGGCUGAUGUGA
rnacentral:rRNA from 1 species